rnacentral:rRNA from 1 species
GAUGAACGCUGGCGGCGUGCCUAAUACAUGCAAGUCGAGCGAACAGAUGAGGAGCUUGCUCCUCUGACGUUAGCGGCGGACGGGUGAGUAACACGUGGAUAACCUACCUAUAAGACUGGGAUAACUUCGGGAAACCGGAGCUAAUACCGGAUAAUAUAUUGAACCGCAUGGUUCAAUAGUGAAAGACGGUUUUGCUGUCACUUAUAGAUGGAUCCGCGCCGCAUUAGCUAGUUGGUAAGGUAACGGCUUACCAAGGCAACGAUGCGUAGCCGACCUGAGAGGGUGAUCGGCCACACUGGAACUGAGAAACGGUCCAGACUCCUACGGGAGGCAGCAGUAGGGAAUCUUCCGCAAUGGGCGAAAGCCUGACGGAGCAACGCCGCGUGAGUGAUGAAGGUCUUCGGAUCGUAAAACUCUGUUAUUAGGGAAGAACAAAUGUGUAAGUAACUAUGCACGUCUUGACGGUACCUAAUAAGAAAGCCACGGCUAACUACGUG